rnacentral:RNase_P_RNA from 1 species
AGUUGGACAGACGCGCGGGCGGGGCGAAAGGCCCGUCUGUGAGGAAAGUCCGGGCUCCACAGGGCAAGAAUAACGGGUAACGCCCGCCGAAGGCGACUUCAGGACAAGUGCAACAGAGAUAUACCGCCGGUGUAGGGUUUUCCCGCACCGGUAAGGGUGGAAAGGCGAGGUAAGAGCUCACCAGCGGACUGGGAACUGCUCCGCUCUGUAAACUCUAUUCGGAGCAACACCGUGGAGGGACACAUGGCCGGCCCGGCCGUCCCGGGGAGGUGGCUGGAGCUUGUCGGCAACGGCAAGUCGAGAUAGAUGUCUGUCGAAUACAGAACCCGGCUUAUAGAUUUGCUUG